AAAUGUGUGAGUGUGAAUUCGAACGAAUUAAUCAAAUAUGAUGACACGAGAAACAAAAUUAAAAUAACCACAAGAAGUAGAAAUAUACUUUUGUUAUAUUUAGUGCAUCUUCUGUGUGUGCUCAAACGCAAUGCCUCAAGGCGCAAGAUAAUUUUAUGACCGUCAAUCUUUUGCAGCCAUAUGCAGACUUGAAACAUUGGCGGUGGUUCUAAGGAACUUGAAAAUUAGAAAAGUUUCAAAAUGAGUGACUAAAUAUGAUAAUCGAAACUAAUUAAAUAUACAUGCCUUGUAAAUAUGAAGCUAAAUUACUCAAAUGUAUGUGCCUCUUCGCAGCAAUUGCUCGUGGUGGAAACUUUACUGCAAAGACUUCCUCAAACCCUUGAAGAUCACACUCUUCCUGGCAACAAAGAAACAGAGACGAUAUACGAAGAUGAUUUUACUAACAAGUGAGAGCUUGCAAAUAUUGGAAGGAUAACGAUUGCUCAUAACCCGAAUCCCCAAUACCCUCUAAUAUCUCACUCGAGUGAGUUCAAGCUCCCAAAAUUCACUACAGUGAAACUCUCAAAACAAAAUUCUCUUCAAAUAUUCUCAACUCAAAUUUGAUGAUGACAUCUCUCGAAGGAAGGCAAAAAAUCUAACACUGAUCAAAUUGGCUUGUGAACAAUUAAUGUUCCUGGCCAUCAUUCAUACUAGGUGUGGCGAACAAUUAAGCUGCUUAGUAUCCUGAACCUGAUAACUUACACAAACAAAAACAACUUGCCUAAAGUUUAAUAUUUAGAGGCAGAACAGUAAAGAAGAAGAUAUAUAUUGAUACUAAAAUUUGACCUGCGUUACCCUGAUGUCAAGAAUAGCAGGAUCUCAUGUGGGCAAAAUCAUCGCAAUACGAGAUGCUUGCAAAAUUGAAGCAGCAUCUUAUCACCUGUAAUUUAAUUAAGAUAAUAACUUUCCCCGACUAUUUCAAUGCAUUAUUGGCAACUAAAUUCAGAGGGCGCUAAUUAAAUACCCUUUUAACAAUAUCUUCUUAUUCUUCUCUAAUCUAGCAGUUAUUUGGAAAAUCUAAAUGACAGUCAUGCAUCAAUGGCGUCAAAAUUUAGCUACAAAGCAGCCUAGAAAAGGCUUCACCCUCAGAAUGAGAGCAUGAAUUCGAAUAAUAUGAUGAAUGAAGAAACAAAGGCAUAAUACCACAAGAAGUCAAACUUUUCCCCAGAGCUCUGUUUCUGUUUGUGCUAAAGCAAAUGGAAACCAGUGGAAAUGAAUUUCUACGAACUAGACAUAUCAGCCAAAACAGGUACUCUGUACAAGCAAAGUAAAAGAGAGUUACAACAAAAUUUAAGAUUGAUAUGAUAAUUAAAAUUUCAGUCACCAUAUAAUUAAUAGAAAACUUUGUACACAAUGAUUUAUUGCAUAUUAAGAUUGGAUAGCUAAAUUUUAAUUGCUAUACAAAAUAUGAUAUUAGCAUUAGGAGACCGCACCAAAACGUACCGAAUUGAAUGUGCCUUUUCACAGCCAUUGUACAAGCUUUGAAGCUUUAGCACAAAUGCUUUUUCAAACCCAUGAACAUGAUGCACCCGAGAGAUGCAAGAUAUGAAAUUGUUACUACAACAGGCAUUGAAACAUUUGUUAAGAAAGGAAGUUUAUGAAAAUACGCCUUAACAAUCAUUAGAUACUCGUCUUCAGGAAUCAAUUCCUCUGUAAUAACAAUUUUCAAAAAGCAUCAACUGCUUUAAGCUCCUCAACAUCACAUAGAUCUUCAAUUAAAAUAGGGCAGAUCCGGCCAUCACUAUUCCUUCCACUGCUCUUUUGCUUUAGAGAACGCUUGAAUUACAGAAUGCGUGUAAGGCUCUCUUGUUCAAGGUCCAGCGAUCAAACCUUGCACAAUAACAACAGAGUUAGUAGUUCCAUCGCCAGCCUAAUCCUUGGACUCGCCAAUGUUCUCCAAUUAACAGAGGUAGUAGGAAAUCAACCAAAAAAUAAGAAUGAGUUUGAAAAACUGUUUAUGGCCCUAAAGAACUUGAAAAUCAGAAAUGAUCAAGAAUGAGUGACUAAACAUUUUAAUCGACUAAACAUACAAAACUUGAAAAACCUAAUAUUGAAGUACUCUGAAUGAACAUGCAAUUGCACGAGCUGGUGACAACUGACUUUACUGCAAACCCUUGGAGAUGAUACUCUACAUACCAUGAUAACCUGAUAGCUGAUAUCUCAUGUUUGCAUGUAGUCCAAUGAAAGCAGAAGCACCAUAACCAAGCACAUUAGUACUCACAGAUGGGUUUGCCACAGAUAACCUGUCAGGCAUUAAAAAUUGCCCAAAUUAAACAAAUGUUAGACCGGCUUAGACAGUAAACGGAACAAUAUUCUAAUUUUACUUUAUUUAUAACGAAUAAGUGAACAAAGGAAUGAAAAGGAAGUUUGGCAACAGUCUUUUUACCAGCCAGAUAGUUUGACAAAGAAUCUUGCACUGCUCCUGCAGCUAAUCCCACCAUACACAACUCUGUUCAAAUAUACUGUUUGGGAGCUUUUGUAAUGUAUUUUGCAAGUCAAACAGGAAGGUAUUUCCAUAAGAAGGUUCACUUCACAUGCUCAACAAUUCAAAUUUGCAGAUGAUAUUUCUCAAAAUGAAGGGCUCUAUUUGGCUUGCCAACAAUCUUCCUCACCGCUAUCAUCCUUGCUAUACCGGUUAAACUGAACAGUCUUCAUUCUGACAUUUGCCCUAUUAACCUGAGUACACAAGAAUCCGAAACAACUGUUAGAAAUUAUAAUCUUUAUAUAUAGCCAAAAUGUUGAAUAAGAUGAUGUACUUGAUAAUAAAUACCUGAGUUAAUAAAUAAUUAAGGGGCCGGUAACAAUCUCAGCAUCUUAUCAAGUGGGGAAAGCCUACGCAACGAAGAUGCUGCUUGCUUUCAAGCAGUAAUAACUUUCCAAUUCCAUAAGGUAGCUUAAUGCCCUUUUAAAAAUAUCUCCACCAGCCUAACAAUUAUUCAUGGAAAUUCAAUUUGCAUUUGUCGCCUUCAAUUUGCUCAUCUUUGUCCAGAGUAUUGUUUUUGCAUUUACUUAGCUAGCCUACAAGCCACCUGCAGAUGGUUUUAAAUAAUGUGUGAGAGUGUGAAUUCGAACGAAUUAAUCAAAUAUGAUGACACGAGAAACAAAAUUAAAAUAACCACAAGAAGUAGAAAUAUACUUUUGUUAUAUUUAGUGCAUCUUCUGUGUGUGCUCAAACGCAAUGCCUCAAGGCUCAAGAUAAUUUUAUGACCAUCAAUCUUUUGCCGCCAUAUGCAGACUUGAAACAUUGGCGGUGGUUCUAAGGAACUUGAAAAUUAGAAAAGUUUCAAAAUGAGUGACUAAAUAUGAUAAUCGAAACUAAUUAAAUAUACAUGCCUUGUAAAUAUGAAGCUAAAUUACUCAAAUGUAUGUGCCUCUUCGCAGCAAUUGCUCGUGGUGGAAACUUUACUGCAAAGACUUCCUCAAACCCUUGAAGAUCACACUCUUCCUGGCAACAAAGAAACAGAGACGAUAUACGAAGAUGAUUUUACUAACAAGUGAGAGCUUGCAAAUAUUGGAAGGAUAACGAUUGCUCAUAACCCGAAUCCCCAAUACCCUCUAAUAUCUCACUCGAGUGAGUUCAAGCUCCCAAAAUUCACUACAGUGAAACUCUCAAAACAAAAUUCUCUUCAAAUAUUCUCAACUCAAAUUUGAUGAUGACAUCUCUCGAAGGAAGGCAAAAAAUCUAACACUGAUCAAAUUGGCUUGUGAACAAUUAAUGUUCCUGGCCAUCAUUCAUACUAGGUGUGGCGAACAAUUAAGCUGCUUAGUAUCCUGAACCUGAUAACUUACACAAACAAAAACAACUUGCCUAAAGUUUAAUAUUUAGAGGCAGAACAGUAAAGAAGAAGAUAUAUAUUGAUACUAAAAUUUGACCUGCGUUACCCUGAUG
rnacentral:lncRNA from 1 species